rnacentral:rRNA from 1 species
CAGACUUGACAUAUAACUGCACGUCCUAUGAAAGUAGGAUUUCUUCGAGAGUGUUAUAC